UUACCACGAGUUGCCUACCACUGGUGCAUAGCAUAUCAUGCUGUUGCGCUUCGAUCGCGAGCUGAACGAACGAAGCUGCUCAUUUCUGAGUCGUAUGCUCUGGAGUUCGGAUGGGCGCAAGAUCGCUCGACACGCGGAUACGUGGAUUAGCGUUGUGCAUCUGGUUUUAGCCUGGUGUGUGGGAGUGUGUGGCAUUCAGCACGUGUGUGUUGUUACAACAGUUUGUGUUGUGUGCAUAGAUAAACGAAAAAUACAAAUCGCCACACUGCAUCACGCGAACCGACAUUUGGCAGCGAAAAUUUAAUGUGCAUCCCUUCCAUUUUCUAAUAGUGCCUGUUUGUGUAUAUGUGUCAAUAAGUGGUGCGCGCUCUGCAAGCAACCGUGCGAACGAUAAUUCGAGUUUCGCUGGAAAAUGUUGUAAAUGUAAUAUGAAAAAAGCAACAAGAUAUCGAUGGCCGCCAAUUCUGAUCUGUUUGAAAAAUGUCCCUAAAGGAAGAAGCUAAUACUCGGUGUUGCUCUCUGUUUCUUACGCAUUUUUCUCUCCGUGUGCGAUCAAGCUAAUACCAUUUCGAAUCUAUGUGUGUGUGUUUGAUUUGUGUGUGCGUGUGAUACAAAUAAUAAUAUCAGUGAAGAAAAAUAGAGCAAAGCGUUCUGGCGCAAUUUGCUGAUGAUCAUCAUGAUUCAGUACGAGCUGCGAUAGCACGCGCCGAGGCCACAUCCUGCAAAGGAAAACUCGACGCAGCCUCUGAGAGUGUGUGCAAAAGUUCAACUUCAUCGUGUGUGUGCUGUUAAUUGUCGUGUGCCUUGGAAUACACAGAAUGAGUGCUUAGUAGCUUCUUGAUACGAUCGAGCGGUUGCUGGAUUCUGGAUGUGGCUUAAACGAAUCCUCGCAGACUAGCGCGAAGUCUGACCGCUCCUCUAGCGUUUGUGUAGAUGUGUUUGGGUGUGGUUUUGUGUGUGCGUGUGUGAUAUUGUAUUGCGUGCGCUGUGGAAAAUAGCAAAAAAAGAAAAACCAUCACACAACUCAUAAUCACACCAGGAGCUACUAUCGUUACUAAAAAUAAUGUAUCACCGUGUUCAUCAGCUCGUCAUUGGUGUCGUGUAGGAUGAUGCACUAACGAUCGACGUCAUAUUAGUGUCAGUGAUAGUGUUACCGCUCCGGAUACGGAACGAGCGCUAGCGUGCUAAAGCUGAGCACAAAACGCAACCAUUUAAAACUGACUUUCGUUUUGUACCUUCUUUCUUCCCCCCCUCCCCAUUAUAUCGCCCCAAACGCGCCUUUUUGUGUUGAAUGCUGUGCACGGCUCGCGGCACGCAAUUCGGGCCCGCUCGGUGACGACAUUGCUUUGACGCAACAACGAUGAACUUUACCACCGGGCGCUGAUGUCUGGACCCGUCAACACAUUUAAACGCAACUUCGGAACUUCGGUCUUGCGGAAAAUGUAUCGGUAAAACGCACCGCACGUACCCGUGUCGUGUCCUCGUGUGCAUUCUCGACUAUCGGUGUGCAAUACUGGAAAACGUACGACUGCCUUCAAUCGCGCCGGAAUCACACACGAAAAUGGCAACGGCAGCGAAACAGUCGUCAUCCUCGACGUCACCCUCCAACACGGUGCGCACGUUCGUCGAGGGACAGGAGGAUUUGGAUGCGAUCGCAAAGCAAAUCUCCGACCACGCUGAAGCCAUCUACCAGACCUGGAAAGCGCGUGGCCUUGCACCGACCGAGAUCCUUAACUGCCACACCGGCGACGGUGCUGAGCAUGCCUUCAGCCAGGCGCUAAAUCCUGCCAACUCUCCUACCGUCAGCCAUCAGCCGUCGGGCGGUGCUUCGGGUGCGUCCGGGGUGCAGCAGCUGGGUACAGCGGCUGUUGGACCAGGCAGUGGUGGUUCAACGUCACCAACUUCCACCAACGCUGCCGGUGUAGCGGAACUGCUUGCCAAAGCGCCGAACCUCUCCAACAACAGUCUCGAGCAGCUGGUAAGCUCGUUCGUGAACGAGGAUAAAGCUCGGAUCGCGGCCCAGCGUCAGCAGCGUGUGGGCGGCGGAGUCCGGACGCCGACGACCGGCACUAGCUCCGCGAUCAAAAGUGUGCUGCAGAAGUUCGAACGAAAUGGUGCCAUUGGUGUCGAUGAUACAGUGAGCAGUGGUGGUGCUGGUGUGUCGGACGUGGGUAGACCGAGCUAUCUGCGCACUGGUGGUGCCGCCGGCGGGAUCACCAAACCCUCGGGCCAUCUAGCUAAUAGCGGUAGUAACAAUAAUAACAACAAUUUUAGCACGAUUAACAAGAACAACGUCCCGGACGUGCUGAAGGAUACGAUCGUCGAGCCAAAGGCGGGCGGUGUUGUGGUGCGCGAAAAACCGCAAACCCCAGUGAAACCGGAGCACCUGCUCAACCAUGUGCCGAGCUGGCCGCUAAAGAACCGCGUUGUGAAAACCGGAGGCGCCGGCUCGAAAGUGAUCGGUGGCGGUACCGCCCAGCCCGUCGUCGGCUUCACCAAGAACACUGCGGAUCUUAUGGAUGAAGUGUCACGCGAGGAAGAACGUCUAAUAAACGCGCUCAAAACCGGUACCGUGCUGAACAGUAGUGAUAGUAUUUUACCAGAAGUGAUCACCUCGACCCUGCCCGAUCGCGACGUACCAGAUUACGGUUCCGUUGUCGACCAUCGCGCUCAGCUAGCCGGGCUGACUAGUGGUAGUAGUAGUGGUGUUGGUGGUGGUGCUAGUGCUCUUUACAACUCCCAAUCCGGUCCCGUCGCAAUGGUGACCGCAGCGUCGGCGGGCAACGGUGGCGGCCCGAUAGUUGCCGCCACCAAUGGUACGCCCGCCCUGAACGGCAACGGUACGAUCAAUGGCACAAACGGCACAAACGGCACCAACGGCACUACCAACCAUGGCUCCGGUGACGCGCCAAACGUGAAGCACUGGAAUGGGGUGCCGAUGAAGCCGAACCACAUACCGAUACUGAACAUACAUCAGAUCCGCGAACAGGAGAAGCUGUCGAUGAACUUUACGCGCAAUGUCGCUACGACCCGGUUACCGAAGGACUUUGGCCGGGCGUCGGUGGACGACGAGAAGAAGCUGAACAUGCAGCCGAAAACCAUACCGAGCCCGAUACGGCCAUUCCUGUCGCGUGGUUCCGUCGCUGAGCGGGUGCUAAUAUUUGAAAAGUGUCCCGAGAAGGCGCCACCACGAGAACGGGUGAAAGAACCGGUCAAGCUUCAGUCAAAACCUGUCAACCGGCUGAUGCCGCCAAACAUUCACACAACGCUGCAGCGACAUCUGAAAAACUCGACCAAAGCCCCCUACAUACCGCAAUUCCAUUUCCCAAAUGGCAAACCACCGCCAACGAUUACGACGGAAACGACGAUGCAGCGAUUGGAGCAGGUUUUCGACAAGAUGCCAAACUACGAAUGUACGCGAGACAACUUCCAGGUGAUCGUCCAGAUGUGCCAAGUGCCCCAGUACUGGCGCUUGCCACUGUUCAUGUGCACGCAGCUCACCCCGAACGGUGCCGUUGAUGGAGACAAAUUCCUGCACUUCUGGCGACAGAUGACCUCAUUCUGUCACGAUGCAGCAUCGCGAUUCGUCUACAUAAUGUCACGUGGUGAUCGCACGCGACCGUACAUCUUGCCGGAAGACUUUGCGCACCUGAUUCAGGAUGUCGUCGAUACGCAUCCCGGGUUGGCAUUCCUGAAGGAGGCAGCCGAGUUUCACUCCCGCUACGUACAUACCGUGAUAGCACGCAUCUUCUACAACGUGAACCGCAGCUGGACGGGCAAGAUCACGACGGCGGAACUGCGCAAAUCGAACCUGCUGGACGUUAUUCAGCUGUUGGAGGAGGAGGAAGAUAUCAAUCAAAUUAUGGCGUACUUCAGCUACGAACACUUUUACGUAAUCUAUUGCAAAUUUUGGGAGUUGGAUCGUGAUCAUGAUCUCUACAUUGACCAGCAGGAUCUGGCCAGACAUAAUGAUCAUGCUCUCUCGUCGCGGAUGAUCGAAAGAAUCUUUUCCGGGUGCGUGACGCGAAGUCCCCGGCGAGGCAAUAACAAUCCGAUGAUACAGGGCCCCAAUGGACCGAAAAUGUCGUACACCGAUUUUGUGUGGUUCCUGCUGGCGGAAGAGGACAAAUCACAUCCGACCGCCAUCGAGUACUGGUUCCGCUGUAUGGAUGUCGACGGUGACGGUGUCCUGUCAAUGUACGAGCUGGAGUACUUCUACGAGGAGCAGCAGCACCGUAUGGAAUCGCUCGGAAUAGAAACACUUCCAUUUGAAGACUGCCUGUGUCAAAUGUUAGAUAUGAUCAAACCAGCAACUCCUGGCUGUGUAACAUUGGCCGAUCUGAAACGCUGCAAGAUGACACCCAUUUUCUACGACACAUUCUUCAAUCUGGAGAAAUAUAUGGAGCACGAACAGCGUGAUCCAUUUGCGCAGCGUGAAAAUGAUGAUCUUUCCGAUUGGGAUCGAUAUGCGGCCCAGGAGUAUGAACUGUUGGUGGCUGAAGAAGGCGGAGAUACGCAAGGGGAGGAAGAGACCCGAUAAAGAUAGGUGAAGAUGAUUUACAAGAACGAAAUGUUUAAAAGCGUAGCACACACACUGUUUCUAUAGGGUUCUUAUGAUGAGGAUGAAGACUACGAGCCAAACAUAGAUAUUCUCGAGUCACAGUUAGAUGAUUGCAUACUGAACGAGUGGUGAGACACGGUGAAGAUAGAGUCGGCCGAAGACUUCGAGCGGGCCGAACGGGCCAUUCAAGAACAGUUGAAUCGACUCUAGAGAAAAAAAAACACACACACGCUCCCAAAAAGGCACAGUGGGGGCGACUACCGACACGCACGGAUUUUCCCAUCUCGGUGGCCGUCGAGAAAGCAGGGGCAAUCAACGGUGGUUCAACAGCACAGAAAUGUUUGGAAAACGCAAAGAAAAAAAAAAAGAGCGCCGUAAAGAGAAAGAGAGAAAAGGAAAUGGUCGAAAGGGGAUUUGAUACAACACUACAAAGCAACACUCAACAAUGCUACCACUACUUCUACUACUACUUCCUACUACCACUAGCGGAUGGACAACAUCUUCAUCGGUGUAACAACAGCGCUACUGCUAAUGCUAUCACCGCUACUACCACUACUAUUAUUACUACCGCAGCUACUACAACAACAGCGCCACUACUACUACUAUUACUACCAUCGUUGGCAAUAUUAACUGGCAUUAUGAGUGCGGUUGCGAAUAGCUAGUAACAGUCAGAUCAAAGAACUCAUCCUUUUCUCAAACAAAAACAAAAACAAAGAAACUACUCAACGCCGCUUUAUAGCAAACGUCAAUGUGUUAGUAUGCGUUCACUUCACGCUCAGCUUCUACGUAGGUCUGCUAGGAAUGUUUGCUAAAAGACAUAACAACAAACGAAUUAACUGUUGCCUGUAGCACACGGAAAUGACAGAACUACGCAGCGUCAUUUGCAAAAGCAUAUUCUCGUGUAAACAAUUUGUGUGAUUGAAAUUAAUAGUUACCACGUGCUCGCUUCACCAUAACCGUUUACAGAGAGAGAGCAUAUGUGUUUGCCGGCCAUUAUUCUAUCUACCGUCAAGAAUAUGAGAAUGAUUUUUCCCUCUAUACGCUCGUUGCAGGUGUUGCCUAUUUUGGCGGAUUUGUUUUCUUUUUCUACUUCUUCAAAAUUAAACCAUAUCAUGUGCAUCAUCAACGGCUAUCACACUAUCAAUAAAAUUGUACAUUUUGGAUCAUUUCAUAGGUUUCACGAGCAGCGAGCGUAUCGUACCGUCGGCAUGCACAGACACAACCAUCUGCAAAUGCUAGGACCAGAAAAUAUUGUCUAGUAACCAGACAAGUCAGAUUGGCUAGCUCUUCUCCCUUGAGUUGGAGCAAUCGGUAUUUUACGGCGAUUUGUUUUGCUAGCUAGCACCUAGAGCUGUUGGCUAAACUUCAGACAGGGACCUUUUUGCGGAGGUCGGGACAGCUGAGAAGAACACAACACAUUCUUAGGAUACUUUAGUUAAGAACGUUUCGUAUAAGCUUUACAACGGUGCCAAAAUAAUUUUUUUCGUUACGUUUUAGCGUUAUCUGUUAGGUGUUACUUCUCGGAACAUAACUUCGGGAAAGAUUAAGUGUAUCGCACAGUUUAUGUACAGGUUUAUUUUUUGGGGUUUUUUUUCGCACCCACGGAAAUGGUUUGUCGAUCGAUAAACAGUGUGCGAUAGGAGGAUUCUGAAGAUAUCAGCGGUGUACUGUUAGCGUGUGUGUGGCUUUAGAAGUUCUAAUCCGUCCCGUACACACUCACACGCGCUGUUUCGAUGUUUGACAGAAAGGAUUCUACUUUAUGACAAGGCACACCAAAAAAACAACCCCCCGUGUAAAAAUCGUUUCCCCGUCAGCUUCAUGCUUUUCAUGAUUUAAUAUCGCCAUUUCCCUGCCAAUGGUAUAAUGGGGCUGCAAUGCUGCGCGCACGAACACAUCGUUGGCUUAACGGCAUCCAGGGUUUACUCAUCCGUGCUACUACUCAUCUCUCAGUCAUCGCUUCACCACCACGGGACAUCAUUGACCAUCAAACCAUCGAUCGUCUUCCAGCAACAUAAACUCACUGACGUAUGUGAAAUGAAGAAAACAUUACGAGAUAGAGAGAGAGCGGGAGAGAGAGAGAGAGGCUCCGCCAAGAAAACAGGACAGUGAUGUGAAGUGAACAAGACAAAACAACUGCGUGGAAAAUGGUACACGAGCAGCAAUGUCAUUUGAAAAAUUAUUUGCUCCAAAAAGUCUAAAUAGAUCGAAUACCAUUACGCGGGCUUUAAUUUGUCUGUGCUCUAGAGCUGCUGUGUUGUGCCGUUUCUGUUCUGUACCCGUCACCCAUUGUGCACGCAUCCAUUCUGUGACAGUAUGGCCGACGGACACUAAAGAGUACUGUUUGAAUUGUCCGUAGGAAAAACAGCGACGACAGUGACGACAGUGACAGCGAAAAGAUCAGCCUCAGGAUAAGCUGGCGCGAGCGGUAUUUACGCAAGCGACGCAAUAAGAAGAAGCGCCGAUAGACACCAGGCGCCUCCAUCGUGUCUUUUGCCCCCUCCGCUCGCUAGAAGACACAAAGCAGCCCGCAAACGCAUCCGUUCCUUACGCUCCUUCAUUAUCCAACACCCUCUUCCCAGUUUCCUUUCCCUCCCGCGCGUGGUGUCUAGAGUCGUGUCAUCGUGUAGUAUUUGAAUGAGGACGGGACGAAGACAGCUAAGCAGUAGAGCGCAUACCGAGAUAGGCGCGGAUUAGUUUUAUAAUCAAACAAACAAACUAAUUGUGCUAUUGGCGAGUGCAUGAAUUGAAUGGGACGCAGUGUAGCAGGAAAGAGAACAUAUUUUAAACUUCAGUGACAACGCUGGUCAGUACGUGAUCGACGAUCGAUCGAUAUUUGCUUAGUGUGUGAGUGAGUGGACUGGAAGCUGCUGGUUACCUUGACAGCAGCGGUACGUGACUGAAAGUAAAUGUAAACCCCGAGGAAGAAGGAUAGGAAGUAAUAGUAAUAAUGACACAACAUGCGCGUCACGGUGUUUUAAGGCAAAGGUUAAAAAACAUUUUGUACUAAAUCUUAUAAACCACUGGCAUCUCGGUGUGCAUCUCCUCCUGGAUGUGUGUAAUUUGCAAUUUUAACCGCCCGAUUAGAGGAAUUGUAAUGUAAAUAGCUGGAAGGAAACAAAAACAAACAAAAAAACAUGGCCGAAAAACGGGGUUGCCGAAGAUCGUGAAGUAGUAGAAGGAUUGAGAGCUUGGAAUUUAGCAAGCAACAACCGAAGCGCAUAUCUAGCAUCUAAUUAAUCCCUGUGUAACUCUUAUCUAGUCCAGUGUUAUAUUUGUGCGUAAAUUUCUAACUGCUAAUUCUGAACGUCAGCAUAUAAUCUCUUAUACAUACAUUUACUGGGAAUACUUUAAAAGAAUUAACUUCUAAGCCUACGUUGAAGGCAGUUUUUAUGUUGCUUCAUAUGUUGCGAUAGACUGCAGCUAAACCAAUUGUGCAGUUCUUCAAACACAGCUUCCAUCCGACGUCGAUAGCAUUAAUGCAAACCCCGAUACAAACCGAUUAAUGCAUCCUGUUAUUAGCUUGGACUUGACAAAUGAUUAAUUUCUCGAGCGAGGGAAGGUUCACUGUUAAGUUUUGAGUUUUGCUCAUUAGUCGCGUGAUGGUUACGUUACGUACGGAGACGAUCGACCGUUGCGUUUAUAAAGGCGCCACAUUUUAGUUUGAAAUCUACUUUCUACCAGAGCUUACUUCGCCAGUACGGUACACGCGCGUACGUUAGACGGAUUCGUUGUUGUACAUAGGGGAGCGUAAUUAUUUUUGCGUAAAUCGUAAAUCGGUACAGUGUGCUUUGUUUGCAUAAAACUAUAACAAUACUCAAAAACAAAACCCCCCCAACAACAUUAACUGGUGGCCCCAUGAGAGAAAGAGAUCGAGAGCGGACAAAGAAACUGUAACUUGAUUGCUAAGUGAUCGCAGCUAAACAUGACACCAUAUUUUACAAAACAGAACGAGUAAAGCAGACAAAAUUGGAAGGAGAAGAGCAAUGAAUUGGCAAGAUGAGAGAAGAUAAGUUGCAGAAAAGCAAAACCUGCCACUAGUAAGAAUGUAACGGACAAACGAUUUGGAUACAAGAUUUGAUGAAUUCCGAUGAAUUUAAGCUGGUGGAAUUGUGGACUUUAUCGUCGACCGACCGUAUAGUACCGUGUGCAAAACUCCCGUAUAGCCGUAGUUGUGUAGGAAAGGAAAAUCGAACUCGAAAUAGAAAGAACUGAAAACCUUAUUUAAUUUUUUGUGAAUAAUAAUCCUAAUCGUAACGGUAUAGAAAGGCAAAACACGAAGCAGAAGAAGGAUGAACAAAAAAAAGAACUAAAAAAAACAUUAAAAAUUAAGUGAAUGUGGAACGUUAAAUACACAGCAGAGAGACCAUCUCAUGGCAGGGAGUGAUCCCUCUACUGGUGGAAUAGAUCUGCUUGCCAUCAUACAAGAAAACACGAAGAAAAUCACCCAAUACAUGACGGCUAAGUUUAAGUAGUUAAGGUGUAGUUGCUUAAAGUAAACGAUAAGUUUUACUAUAAUUUUCCUCUUUUUUUGUUGUUGUUGCCUUUUCUUUCUUAAUUAACCCGGAGAAAUUGGACACACGGGAAGGUUCUAAAGUGUGUAGCCAGUAGUGAAGGUGUGCGAUACGAUCAAGGAAACGGCACCAGGGUUUGAAUAUUUGACUUUCGAACCCAUGUGCUCUCGUCCCCCUGGGAAUGGUUAGGAGUUUUAAUUUGUUCUUUUCUUAUUUUUAAAGAAUUAAUUUUCGAUUGUUUUUACCGCGUAUUGACUAUGGAUUGUUUUUCGUCGUUUUACAUUAUUUAUAACAGAUUUUACCAAGUACCCAACAACUUUCCCCUUUAUCACUAUACUUAAAUAAUGAUCAUUAGAUGUAUAUGGACAAAACACAACAAUACACGUGCAAAAGUGAAAAUAAGUUCGAAAUUAAGAGUGGCGUGUGUUUACACGCACAAACACACACACGCGGUAAGAAAGCAAACAAAAAAAAGAAGGGAAAACUGUAAACAGAGAACACGAUAAUAAUCGGAGAGCCGUGAAGGGAAUUUGAUAAAAACCGAUCUGUGUAAAAUUGAUCGAUAAAUUAUUAAAAUAUUUAAAAUCGAG